UACGGAGGGUGCAAACGUUGCUCGGAAUCAUUGGGCGUAAAGCGCACGUAGGCGGCCUGUUAAGUCGGGUGUGAAAUCCCUCGGCUCAACCGAGGAAGUGCAUUCGAAACUAGCAGGCUUGAAUGUGGAAGAGGGUCGUGGAAUUCCCGGUGUAGAGGUGAAAUUCGUAGAUAUCGGGAGGAACACCAGUGGCGAAGGCGGCGACCUGGGCCAACAUUGACGCUGAGGUGCGAAAGCGUGGGGAGCAAACAGG
rnacentral:rRNA from 1 species